ensembl:lncRNA
UAUAUAUAUAUAUAUAUAUAUAUAUAUAUUCUCAACACAAAUGAAAAGUCGUGCUUUGCAGACUGAACUGAAAGCGUGGACUACAUACAAAACUACGCUAGACAGGAGGUGAGCUAAUAAAUUACUGUGUGUAGUGCACUAGGGUUGCACAAUGUGGACAAACAGAAUAUUAAGCAUAAACAGUCUCGGAUUGGCAUUUAAAGGUGCAGUUUGUAAUGAUUUAAAGUGUUUCUAGACCUGAAAUGUUUGGUUUUUAUGUUCUAGCUGGAGCUCGGAAAUUCUGAAGUUACAAGUUACGCGGUGUUCCCUCUGCCUCCAGUGAGCUCUGAGCUGUUUAGCUCUGCCCUUUCAUUUUUCUCAAAAUGCAAGCCACAAGGCAUGCGUGGUUCAGAGGUGCCAACAUUUCUAACAAGAAAGUUCCUCGAUAAAUCCGGCAAACAGGAAACAGAAACGGAUUUUACCACAAAAACGAGAUGUGCAGCAGUAAGAAAAUAACUUCUUUUUUUUUCUUUACUUUUUUUCUUUUACAAGCCAAAGAGACCACAGCCCCGCCUUUUGUGUUUUUUUUUUUUUUUAAUUGGCUCGAAAGACCGAUGCUCAUAAAUUCACAAGUUCACCUAGAUAACUUCAACGUGAAGCACCGCUACCAGACACAAAUUCAUCUUUCACAUCUCGCCUCCUUUCCCCUUCAGUGAAUUGGGCUUUUCCGCCAGGUCAGUUGCAGGGAGAAAAAGAGGAAUGCUUCAUGAUGUUUUCAUUGCAAUUGUAAUUCACCUUCCAGACAGCAGAGGGCACUAACAUGGCAAACUGCUCCUUUAACUUGACUGGUUUUAACAAAACACUUACAGAACGUGUCUGUGCUCAGAAUUCUCACCAGACACGAUAUAGUUUGUGGUUCUAGCGCUUAUAUGCAAUUCCCAAUAAUUUUUUUUUUUUUCUUAAAACAACAGUAUAUUGUGCAGCCCUAUAGUGCAGUAUAUGAUCAUUAUUUUUGGAUUGUCUCUGUAAUCCAUCCAUGUGAUCCAGGCUCAUGUGAGGAAUUGGUGAAGAAAGCAACAAAUCUGAUCCUGGGUUAGAAUUGUUUGAGAUCAGAUUAUGAGCUCUGCCACGGGAUUAGCCAGCAGUGUUUUUAUUUUCUAAACCCAAACGCAUUACCUCUGUGACGGAGCCUGUCUCUCUCGCGCGCUCUCUCUGUCUCUCCCUCUCUCUCUCUCUCUCUCUCUCUCUCUCUCUCUCUCUCUCUCUCUGUCGCACGGCAGAGUCUCAGCUUCUGAUCUGGGAACAGGCCUUGAAGGAGUGCUUGUUAAAUACUGUACAGCUGAAAUGUAUGCUCUUCCCUUCAAUAAAGUGACUGCUCUGUUCG